GACAGAGGAUGCAAGCGUUAUCCGGAAUGAUUGGGCGUAAAGCGUCUGUAGGUGGCUUUUUAAGUCUGCCGUCAAAUCCCAGGGCUUAACCCUGGACAGGCGGUGGAAACUACCAAGCUGGAGUACGGUAGGGGCAGAGGGAAUUUCCGGUGGAGCGGUGAAAUGCGUAGAGAUCGGAAAGAACACCGGUGGCGAAAGCGCUCUGCUGGACCUUAACUGACACUGAGGGACGAAAGCUAGGGGAGCGAAUGGG
rnacentral:rRNA from 1 species